rnacentral:rRNA from 1 species
UACGUAGGUGGCAAGCGUUGUCCGGAUUUACUGGGCGUAAAGAGCGCGCAGGCGGUCGUUCAAGUCGCGUGUGAAAGCCCCCGGCUCAACUGGGGAGGGUCACGCGAUACUGAUCGACUCGAAGGCAGGAGAGGGUAGUGGAAUUCCCGGUGUAGUGGUGAAAUGCGUAGAUAUCGGGAGGAACACCAGUGGCGAAGGCGACUACCUGGCCUGUUCUUGACGCUGAGGCGCGAAAAGCUAGGGGAGCAAACGGG